UACGUAGGGGGCAAGCGUUGUCCGGAUUUAUUGGGCGUAAAGCGCACGCAGGCGGUCUCUUAAGUUUUGAGUGACAGGUGGUGGCUCAACUACCACAGGCCUUGGAAAACUGGGAGACUUGAGGACUUCAGAGGGAUGCGGAAUUCCAGGUGGAGCGGUGAAAUGCGUAGAUAUUAGGAAGAACACCAGUGGCGAAGGCGGCUCACUGGCCCGGUACUGACGCUGAGGCGCGAAAGCGUGGGGAGCAAACAGG
rnacentral:rRNA from 1 species